AUGACUUUGGCAGGUUAUUUUUUAUUUCCAGUUUCGUUAGUUCUCAGAGGAUAUUUCAGUGAUAUUCCUGGCUAAUGAUUAAGCAUGAAGUCUCCAGAGCUUCAUCUUAACUCCUCAACAUUCUAGCUGGGGAGUUUUUGGUUUGACAUUGUUCAUUCUUACAAUGGAAGUAAUGAUGCCUACUUGGUAGGGUUGUUACUACAGUAAAAAGAGGUAAUAAACCUGAAACUUCCCCACUAACGCUGGUCAACACAGCAAGCCCUCAGCCACUUGUACCUGUAGCAUAACUAACUGGGUCUUAACUGUCCACCGCUAUCAUCGUCGUCAUCAUCCGGGAUAUUUUGCUGGUAUUUCCGUAGUCCUUAACUGCUAUAAAAAUGAAACGAGCUUCAUCAAAUCAAAUCACCUUCUUGCUAUUUCUUUUAUUUUAAAAAUUAAUAUUCUUAUGUGACUCAUUAUGAGAGUCAUUUAUUUACAUGGAGAGAUCAAUUUAGGCUAAAUUAGAUGUAUUUGGUUUAAUAUUCAUGAAUGAAAGUGAUUUAAGUUUCCAACUACUCACUGAAACCAGAGAAUCCUAAACAAUUAACCCUGUUUCAGGUAAUUUGAAGUUUUCUGCUUUUCCUCGUGUUGGUCUUUUUGCUUAAUCCACACAAACAUUCUUAUUCUUGUGUGUUUCCGUCGCUCUUUCUUGUUCCUCUGCGCUCACAUGGAGACAAAUUUAAAGCCGAGCACUUUAAGCUGUGAUAACACCUUUCAGGCGUCAAAUAGAAAGGAAGAAAAUUAACAACGACGCCCAUUUUACCUAUAUUCUUAUUUAAUAACCUCUUGAGGUAGAUACUAUCUUCAUUUUACAAGGGCGCAGAGGAGGUGCUGAGGUGAGGAGGUGCUGAGGUCACACAAAUAAUAAAUGGCAGAGCAGCGCUGGAAUUGAGGUCAUCUGACUCCAAGAGAGGGCUCGCGUCUCCAAGUCACAGCACACCAUUCCCAGGAUGGAGAAAGAUUUGUCAAGGGGAACUCAAAAGGACUAUCUUGGGUCAGAACUAGAUUGCAAAAGCUUACUUCUUUGGCUAUUGUCUGUGGAGUAAAGGCCAACCAAUUUUAACCAAUCUGCGUCUUGGAAGACAGAUGAAAAUGAGCAUAUUUGCACGGGUAGGUGGGGAAGACAGGAAGCCUUGUUUCUGACACAUUUUCAUGAUACGAAACACUUAGAUCACACUUCCCGUUGUUCCUGCCCUAGGGGAAACCGAAUCUGCCAUCCUGUGGACUGAAAAGGGCCCUGAAAAUGUCACGAUCUGGUGCUCUCCCCUCAGGCAGAGGCAGCCUAAUCUACACAGGUAAAUGAAGUGGAAGAUUAAGUAAUUAUCUUCAGUAUUUGAUUAAUGUGGAAAAUCAACAUGAAAGAUUUUAGUAUCUCAGGGUAUUCUUUUCCCCUCAACUGUGCAUGUUUGAACCUUAACUAAGCCAAUAUUUUCUUAGCUUUCUGUUUGAUUUUGACACCGGAUUGAAGAGGAUGAAUGAAAACAUUUCUAAGGCAGUUUUCAACGCUCCUGGAACAAAAGAUGCAGGCGUAGCCGAGGCCGCCACACAGGUCUCCAUCCUGUCUGUAGAGCACAAGGAAAACAUGCACUGGCCUCUAGGUUGUGUCAGUGUGUAUUCUGGGUCUCAGCCGCAAUCUCUGGCCCUGAAGCCAAAGCUCUUUCCUCCCAAGGCCCUAGCGGGGUCCACACGUGUUCCACGCAUCUGUCUACAAAGCAGACACUUCUGUCUUGUAGGGUUUAUAUGGAGUUCUCUCUGAGACUGUUUAACUUCUCAAGAGGCCUGCUUCCAUCUGCACUCCAAAGGCGUUUGCGUUCUUAACGGACCCGAACUCCUCCUUGGCCUUCCUGGCACAGUCCGUGCCCUGGCUACCACUUGCUUGGGAGCCUCUGUUCUCCGUUGCGUCCUCUGGCUGCUGCUGACCCAGCAGCUCAGUGUAAGGUGGGGGCGGGGUGAAACUCACAGGUCACGGUUCUGGAGUCGUUUCGUGUUUCACGAUCUUAACCACGGGUCUGACUAACUGUAGCAUAGAGGGAGGUUAAAUGCACGCAUGAGCAGAGUGUGUGCGUAUGUGCGUGCCCACCAGUGACUGCCGCCACCUGUCUGUAUCUUCACCUAUUCUAGAGGGCAAAAAAAAAAAACAAAACACCGAGAGAUCUUUGCUUGAUUUGGAGGUUGACCAGGAGGACCCAUGGCUGCUUCGGAAUAGCUUUGUACUCAGAGUCUUGUGUGUCCUGAUUAUGACGAAAUGUAGGUCUGAUAGUGGCAACAGGAGGAACAGGAGAAGAACCGGGACAAUUUCAGGAGUGAUUCAACGUUUCUGCUGCAGUGAUCCUAUCUUCUAUGACCUUCGGAAGCUCAAAAUUAUCAACACAAAGUAUUCUUAAUGGCUGCGUUGUAGCCAGAGUAGUUUUGUGGCAGCUGAAUAACUCUCUUCCCUGUCUGGAAAGGUGCAGGGCUUCACCUUCAAUGGCUAGAAAGGGGAAUUCAUGUCAUUACUAUUUUAUAGAAGCAAUAAAACAAAAAAUAAUUGGA